UACAGAGGGGGCAAGCGUUGUUCGGAAUUACUGGGCGUAAAGGGCGCGUAGGCGGCCGCCUAAGUCAGACGUGAAAUCCCUCGGCUCAACCGAGGAACUGCAUCCGAUACUGGCGGGCUUGAAUCCGGGAGAGGGAUGUGGAAUUCCAGGUGUAGCGGUGAAAUGCGUAGAUAUCAGGAGGAACACCGGUGGCGAAGGCGGGUCUCUGGGCAACAACUGACGCUGAGGAGCGAAAGCGUGGGGAGCGAACAGG
rnacentral:rRNA from 1 species